GGAAUGAGUUAAGUAUAAACCCCUUUACAAGUAUCAAUUGGAGGGCAAGUCUGGUGCCAGCAGCCGCGGUAAUUCCAGCUCCAAUAGCGUAUAUUAAAGUUGUUGCAGUUAAAAAGCUCGUAGUUGGAUUUCUGUUAAUACCUUAUAUAUAAUAUUUUUUUUUAAAUAUUAUUAUGUAAGAUUAACAUAAUUCAUAUUUUUUAAGACUGAAUU
rnacentral:rRNA from 1 species